AGCAGCCGCGGUAAUUCCAGCUCCAAUAGCGUAUAUUAAAGUUGUUGCAGUUAAAAAGCUCGUAGUUGAAUUUCGGGACCAAUAUGUCGGUCGUGCCUCGGUACGCACUGGCUUAUUGGUUUCUCCUUUCUGAAGAACCAUGAUGUCAUUCAUUUGGUGUCGUGGGGAAUCAGGACUGUUACUUUGAAAAAAUUAGAGUGUUUAAAGCAGGCUCACGCUUGAAUACAUUAGCAUGGAAUAAUGAAAUAGGACGUUUGAUUCUAUUUUGUUGGUUUCUAGGAUCGACGUAAUGAUUAAUAGGGAUAGUUGGGGGCAUUAGUAUUCAAUUGUCAGAGGUGAAAUUCUUGGAUUUAUUGAAGACUAACUACUGCGAAAGCAUUUGCCAAGGAUGUUUUCAUUAAUCAAGAACGAAAGUUAGGGGAUCGAAGACGACCAGAUACCGUCGUAGUC
rnacentral:rRNA from 1 species